rnacentral:rRNA from 1 species
GCGUAAAAGAGCUCGUAGGCGGUUUGUCGCGUCUGCUGUGAAAGCCCGGGGCUUAACCCCGGGUGUGCAGUGGGUACGGGCAGACUAGAGUGCAGUAGGGGAGACUGGAAUUCCUGGUGUAGCGGUGGAAUGCGCAGAUAUCAGGAGGAACACCGAUGGCGAAGGCAGGUCUCUGGGCUGUUACUGACGCUGAGGAGCGAAAGCAUGGGGAGCGAACAGGAUUAGAUACCCUGGUAGUCCAUGCCGUAAACGUUGGGCACUAGGUGUGGGGGACAUUCCACGUUUUCCGCGCCGUAGCUAACGCAUUAAGUGCCCCGCCUGGGGAGUACGGCCGCAAGGCUAAAACUCAAAGGAAUUGACGGGGGCCCGCACAAGCGGCGGAGCAUGCGGAUUAAUUCGAUGCAACGCGAAGAACCUUACCAAGGCUUGACAUAUACCGGAUCGUUCCAGAGAUGGUUCUUCCCCUUUGGGGUCGGUAUACAGGUGGUGCAUGGUUGUCGUCAGCUCGUGUCGUGAGAUGUUUGGGUUAAGUCCCGCAACGAGCGCAACCCUCGUUCCAUGUUGCCAGCACGUGAUGGUGGGGACUCAUGGGAGACUGCCGGGGUCAACUCGGAGGAAGGUGGGGAUGACGUCAAAUCAUCAUGCCCCUUAUGUCUUGGGCUUCACGCAUGCUACAUUGGCCGGUACAAAGGGUUUGCGAUACUGUGAGGUGGAGCUAAUCCCAAAAAGCCGGUCUCAUUUCGGAUUGAGGUCUGCAACUCGACCUCAUGGAAGUCGGGAGUCGCUAGUAAUCGCA